rnacentral:rRNA from 1 species
ACGCUCGACACCUACGGGAGGCAGCAGUGGGGAAUAUUGCACAAUGGGGGAAACCCUGAUGCAGCGACGCCGCGUGAGUGAAGAAGUAUUUCGGUAUGUAAAGCUCUAUCAGCAGGGAAGAAAAUGACGGUACCUGAGUAAGAAGCCCCGGCUAACUACGUGCCCGCAGCCGCGGUAAUCUGAGCGGGCUGGCAAGGC